UCGAAGAUCUCAAAUAUGUGAGAUUACCUGCUGAACUUAAGCAUAUCAAUAAGCAGAGGAAAAGAAACUAACAAGGAUUUCCCCAGUAACGGCGAGUGAAGCGGAAAGAGCUCAAGAUAAGAAUUCCCACCGUGUUAACUCACGUGGGAAAUUGUGAUCUUGUGAUCCAGUACUAGGUUUUGAUUGCAGUGAAUAGAAGUUCGUUGGAACACGACGCCGUAGAAGGUAAAAGCCCUGUUUCGGAUUCACUAUGUACAAUAAUCAGCCAUACAGUCUGGAUUCAUCGAGUCGUGUUGCUUGGGAGUGCAGCACAAAUUGGGAGGUACAGAUCUUCUAAAGCUAAAUACCGGCGAGAGACCGAUAGCGAACAAGUACCGUGAGGGAAAGAUGAAAAGCACCUGGAAACGGGAGUGAAAUCAGAGCUUGAAAUUGUUAAGAGGCAAAAGCUGGGGAGACUUUUCUAAUUAUUUAUUUAAUGAUGCUUUGUAAGUCGAUGCUGAAAGGUUUACGAUCUUACGAUAUAAAGCCGUCAACGCAGUUUAUCUGAUUACGAGAUAUCGAUAGUAGCCCAAGGUUGUUUGCAUCCCCGCGACAAGCGGCGUGAUGUACAUCUUAACGCAUAUAAGGGCUAUUAUCACACAAGGUGUCUGGGGAUGAACUGUCCGGAUAAAACCGGAUAGUAUAAUACUACUGCUGGGCCGUGCUGUUGCAAUGCGGUGUGUAGAGAAUUCGUUCUAUGCGCGCCGCAUUGUGAUAUUCCGCGUUUGCCCACUGAGGUUUAAAAACUAGUUGACGAAUUAUAAAGGCCCUCAACUACCCGUCUUGAAACACGGACCAAGGAGUCUAACAUCUAUGCAAGUAUUAUAGUACAUCAGUCGAAACUAUAAAUGCGCAGUGAAAGCGAAGGCUAAUGUAGAUUAGCUGUAGUGUGAUUUGUUGUAGUCCGCCUUAAACAAGCGGAGCAGCAAUGCAACACUAACCGAUCGUGUUAAAUCUCCCUCAGCAAUGAGGUGAUCCGAUUUGAGUUAGAGCAUAAUCGUUAGGACCCGAAAUCUUGUGAUCUAUUCCCGAACGACGGUGAAGGCAGUUGAAAAAUUGUUGGAGGCCGGGCAACAGUACUAACGUGCAAAUUGUUUGUUUGAUUUGGGACUAGGGGCGAAAGACUAAUCGAACAAGGUAGUAGCUGGUUCCCCCCGAAGUGUUCCUUCGAACAGCUGGCGUGAUGAAAUAUAAAUCCAGUUUUGCCUGGUAAAGCGAAUGAUUAGGCAUUUUGGGAGUUCUUUAUGCUCCUGGGUGCAUUCUCAAACUUUUAAUGGGCAAGAUAUGUAGUCGUUGCAUAAUCCAAUCAUGGAACCUACAUUGUUAACAGAAUGGAAAGCGCUUAGUGGGCCACUUUUGGUAAGCAGAAUUGGCGAUUCGGAUUGAACCGGACGCGUGAGUUAAGGUAUCAAAUUUCUCAUUCAUCUAGAUACUGCAAAAGGUGUUACUCAAUUUUGACAGCAGGACUGUGGUCAUGGAAGUCGAAAUCAGCUAAGAAGUGUGUAAAAACUUACCUGCUUAAUUGAGUAGUCCUGAAAAUGGAAGAUGCUAAAAUGAGAGACCUAUACUCGGCCAUUAUAUAAGCAAUUGUGAAACAAGAGAAGUAUAUAAUGUGUAGGGGGGCGUGGAGAUUCAUUACAAACAUGAUGUCGCGAAGUAUUUACCGUGAGGUAAAACGGAACAAUCUCCAGUGCAGAUCUUGGUGGGAGUAGCAAUGAUUCAAAUGUGAGCCUUUGAAGACUGAAGUGGGGAAAGGUUCCUCGGGAAACGCAUUGUACCGAGGUUUAGUCGAUCCUAACUAUUAAGUUCUAAUCUGAUUUUGAAACGCUGUACGCUGAAGAGUGGUUGGGGUUACGACCUCUUGAUCACAGCCCUGUGUACAAUAUAGGAAAGGGAAUCAGGUUAAUAUUCCUGAACCUUGAAGUGCUUGAAUUACUUUGACCUCUGUUUGUCAAACGCUAAUCGGUAACGAAAGAGACGUCCAAGCCACCAGCGCGAUACCCUGAGAGAGAUCUCUCUUCUUUAUUAACAGCUCUCGACUCCGAUGCGUUCGGGGUGUUAUUUAAUUGGUCAAACAAUUGGAUAGAGACACUGCGGAAAUACCUUGCGUAGAGAAGCAGUUGCUCGGCUGGAAAAGCACUUUCAUUUUUGAUCUGACAAUAUAUUAGAUUCAAGCUAUUGUGAUGAACUUCCCCUAGUUUAUAGUGAAUCGGUGUCGGGUGCUAUCGCAAUGGUACUUAAAAAUUGGACUGAUUGUCUGUGCCAAGUCACUUCAGGUCGUACUCAUAUCCGCAUCAGGUCUCCAAGGUGAACAGCCUCUAGUUUUUGGGUGUAUGCAGGUAAGGGAAGUCGGCAAAUUAGAUCCGUAACUUUGGAAAAAGGAUUGGCUCAAAGGGUAACGGGGGAUUUAAUUAGGUGUGGUGAGUUUGACUACGAAUGGGCAGUGUUGGUUCGCCGCGCUGCACUAAUCACACCCGAUGCCCUCGAUUUAUUACUAACUUUGAACUGAAACGGACAAGAAGAAUCCGACUGUUUAAUAAAAACAUAGCAUUGUGAUGGGGAGAAAGUCCUGUUCACACAAUGUGAUUUCUGCCCAGUGCUUCGAAUAUCAACAUGGAGAAAUUCAAACAAGUGCAGGUAAACGGCGGGAGUAACUAUGACUCUCUUAAGGUAGCCAAAUGCCUAGUCAUUUAAUUUGUGACGCGCAUGAAUGGAGCAACGUGAUUCUUACUGUCCCUAUCUGCGACUCAGCGAAACCACUGCCAAGGGAACGGGCUUGGGGAUGACAAAGGGGAAAUGAGUCCCAAUGUGCUUGACUUCAUUCAGACUUUGCGAAUUGACUCGAUUGGUGUAGAAUAUGUGGGAGAGGCAACUCGAUCGUGAAAUACCACAACUUUUGACGUUAAUUUGCUCACUUUAUUAUUAUGUUGUACACCGCAGCGAUGCGGGGUGCUAUGUAUUUACGUGGUAAGUCCGCGGCGGCAACGUCGGGGGCGAACAUGUUGGUAUAAAGGACCAAGUCUGGUGGGAAGUUUGGCUGGGGCGGCACAUCUGUUAAACAAUAACGCAGGUGUCCUAUGGCGAGCUCAGACAGAACGGAAAUCUGUCGUCGAACAAAAGGGUAAAAGCUCGCUUAAUGAUGAUUUUCAGUACGAAUACUCAUUGAGAAAUCAUGGCCUAUCGAUCCUUUCAUUGAAUUUAUCUUCUAUGAUCUGUAUAGUGAGAGGUGUCAGAAAAGUUACCACAGGGAUAACUGGCUUGUGGCGGCCAAGAGUUCAUAUCGACGUUGCUUUUUGAUUCUUCGAUGUCGGCUCUUCCUAUUCUAGAAUCGCAGCAGGUUCUAUGGAUAAGAUUGUUCAUUUACUAACAGGGAACGUGAGCUGGGUUUAGACCGUCAUGAGACAGGUUAGUUUUACCCUUUUGUCAAAGGGGAGUUUUAAUGGUAAUCCAAGGUAGUACGAGAGGAACUCUUGGUUAACGUCGUUGGUCGUGACAGUUCUCCGUGAGGAGAUGGCUGUAUCGCUAGCAUGUUUUUGGUGAGAGUUGAACGCCUCUAAACUCGAACCAUGGCCGGGAAAGAUUCCAUAUAACCUUCCAUUCGUUUGU
rnacentral:rRNA from 1 species